AGUGAACGCUGGCGGUAGGCCUAACACAUGCAAGUCGAACGGCAGCACAGUAAGAGCUUGCUCUUACGGGUGGCGAGUGGCGGACGGGUGAGGAAUACAUCGGAAUCUACUUUUUCGUGGGGGAUAACGUAGGGAAACUUACGCUAAUACCGCAUACGACCUACGGGUGAAAGCAGGGGAUCUUAGGACCUUGCGCGAUUGAAUGAGCCGAUGUCGGAUUAGCUAGUUGGCGGGGUAAAGGCCCACCAAGGCGACGAUCCGUAGCUGGUCUGAGAGGAUGAUCAGCCACACUGGAACUGCGACACGGUCCAGACUCCUACGGGAGGCAGCAGUGGGGAAUAUUGGACAAUGGGCGCAAGCCUGAUCCAGCCAUACCGCGUGGGUGAAGAAGGCCUUCGGGUUGUAAAGCCCUUUUGUUGGGAAAGAAAAGCAGCAGGUUAAUACCCCGCUGUUCUGACGGUACCCAAAGAAUAAGCACCGGCUAACUUCGUG
rnacentral:rRNA from 1 species